AGACAGCUGCACUCACCUUGUUACCUGCCAGGUGAGACACGGAAAAGACAUUCAGUCCUCAGAAUGAAUUCCACCCUCGCGCUGAAUAAAGCAGCUCGUUCAUUAGUCUCGUGCUACCUGAGUGAUUGGAAGACAGGGUUUUGCAGUAUUUGUGUUAUCCGCACAGCUGGAAACUUUGCCUGGGUAUUUAUGUGCUCAAAAAUUUCAGUCAUUGUUUCUGGUCGUGUGUGUAAAGCAGGCUACAUCAAUGCCAACUAAAGCUGACACAAUGGAGUUGUGGAUGAUUUGUUAACUGUUUGAUCCACAGCCGUUUUCAGGUUGAGGUGGAAAAUCUAUUUUGGUAAAGUAAAACUGAAAUGGAUGCCAGCCUGAAACACUGCUGAGCUAAACUGUCUGGACAACAUAGCCUAAAUGUUGCAUCAUGACUGUAGAAUUGUACAAUAUCUAGAGUUGUAUGGAUAUUAUAGUUAAACAAUUUAUAAUCUUCAUUUUUAACACAGCUGACAUCUGACUGUAGGAGUGGGACAGGUUACUUGUCUGAUCUGAAAACCCUUUAAUCUCUACAGCAGCCACUUUUCUGUUGUGGAGGUGUAGCUCCAGUAGUUUGGUUGUGACAUCUCUCUCUGAGGGCAUGGCCGCGGUGUUACCACAUAAAAGCAGGCAUCAGUAUGUCAGGUAUGUUGGUGAACCAGAUCCACUCAGCCUUUUCUCAGAUGAAGGGUGUGACUGUACUUUCCUGGAGAUUGGCAUGGUUUAUUAAAAAUGCUGUCAAUAAAAGACUACCCGAGAGAAUUAUUGUACAAUAAAUCCACUGAGCACAUGAUAGAUGAGUCACAAGUAAAGAGAUGAAAGAAAAUGUCCUGGAUCAAAGUAUUUGUUUUUUGUCGAUUUAAAAGAAAAAUGAUUGCAUGUUGGCUUGUAUUAAAUGUACAUUUGUGUAUCUGUUACAACAGAAAUAAACAUGACAAAUAAACACUUGGAAAGCACUUAAUACUGUAUACAGAGUUUUCGUGUCUCACUAAUCUUUUAGCUAUGGUGUAACGUUUGUAUGCAUAACAGCUGGGGUCAACAGGUCUCUUCAAACUGGGAUCCCUUUUUUUGGUAUUGCUGAGAUGCAGACCUAACUUGUGUGAAUAUUGACCAGCAUUACCUGCAUUAACACUGGUAACCGGUGAGUCAGAUGGGUGUGACACAAAUCUAGAAUGAUUUAAUUAAUGUUGAGGUAUUUUUUUAAUUUGGAAUGUAGAUUUGUUCAGGGUGAAAUGCGUCAGUGCCAGGAGGGAGAGUUCAAAUGAAGAGAAUAUUAAAACAUCUUUUUGCUGUUGUGGGCAGUUUGUCUAUCGUUUUACCGGUAGUGUCUUGUGGUUAGGGGACAUUCUGGAAAUUAAAGUAUGGAUAUAAAUGACUUAAAGAAACCUUAAGGUACUUAUUGAGGGUGAAUUAAAGCAUAAACCUGUUUUACUGGUAAAAUGACUUUUGUAUUAGUGACCAAAAUGACUAAUGAAAAGAGUCAAAUGCACAAACGGUGGAAAUGCUGAAAUUUAUUACAUUUUUGAGAUGCUAUAGGUAAAAUCAACUUCAUUUGUUUUACUUUAAAAAUCUGUUACAGCAAAUGCCAACACAUUAUGUGCUGAUUCAUGAUUGGUAGAUUGCAUACAAGCCCUGGAUUAAAGAAAAAUAUGUAUGUAGCACUUUGUUGACAGCACUCUAUUCCAAAAUAAUGUCUGAUGCGCAAUAUCCACAAGUUCACUACGACUCCAAUCAGAUAUCAUUUGUGUUGUUUCAAUUGUCCACAAGGUGGUGCUCUCACCAAAUACUAAAUAAGGAGUCCCACCUCGGUAGGUGUGGUUUCUCUGCUACAACCACAACUCUAGGUUUUCCCAUUUUCAAGUCCCUGAAAAAUUACAAACACAUGGCACGAAUCUCAUUAUUUCAACAGCAACUAGCACAUAUCAUAUUUCAACAACACCUGCUUGUUUGUCCUUGGCAAUACAAACAUCUUACACUUUCUCUGAACAGGGAGGGAAUCAUUUUUGAAAGAAGACAUUUUAAUACAACAAGAGGACUUGGAGGCAGCACUAAAUGUUGGAAAGACAGAAUCACAAACGUUUCGGUAAACUCAAAAGCAUGAAUGUGCUUUUUACUUUUCUUAACAUCCUUAUUAUUCAAUAUGAACAGAAAAUAAUGGAUCCCAGAGUAAUAAAAACACUAAAAUAGGUCCCUUUGAGCAGUUAUAUCUAUUUAAACUGAUCCUCUGGCCGAUUUCCCUCCAUCCAGAUGCACUUCCACUGUGGGAAUGUUUGUUUUUCUACCAGCAGGAAAUGAAGGCUGCCUUUGAGCUUUAGACAAAGAAACAGAUUGAAGUUACUGCGGGAAAGCUUUGGGGAAUGGAAAUUAAAGAAACAAAAUAAUCGGAAAAACCAACAAAACAGUGGUAAAAAAAUUAAAUAAAAAAGGGUCCCUUUAUUAAAAAAAAGAAAGAAACGUUGGACACACAAUCAAGGGACUAAUGAGAGAAUCUUGUAUUUUUCACUCUAGGGAACAUAAUUUGGUGGCACAAUUAAAAAAUAAACAAAAAUAUGAUAUUUACUUUUAAAUAAAAGAGCGUAUAUUCAAUCCCACAACAAGUGCAUAUAAGCACAAGCAUGAAUUCAGCUUUGACACAGACAAGCAAUGUACAUGCAUUUCAUUUGGGUACUGGUUCUUUUAUGGGCCAGUUUUGGUUUGCGAAUGACAAGCUGAUAAGAAAUAAUGGCAGGAAAGUGAUAUAUUUCACAGCAGCAUAUGAGCUAAGAUAUUUUGUUCAUUCACA